rnacentral:rRNA from 1 species
UACGUAGGUGGCAAGCGAUAUCCGGAUUUAUUGGGCGUAAAGGGAACGCAGGCGGUCUUUUAAGUCUGAUGUGAAAGCCUUCGGCUUAACCGGAGUAGUGCAUUGGAAACUGGGAGACUUGAGUGCAGAAGAGGAGAGUGGAACUCCAUGUGUAGCGGUGAAAUGCGUAGAUAUAUGGAAGAACACCAGUGGCGAAAGCGGCUCUCUGGUCUGUAACUGACGCUGAGGUUCGAAAGCGUGGGUAGCAAACAGG